rnacentral:rRNA from 1 species
AUUGAACGCUGGCGGCAGGCCUAACACAUGCAAGUCGAGCGGUAGCACAGGGAGCUUGCUCUCGGGUGACGAGCGGCGGACGGGUGAGUAAUGUCUGGGAAACUGCCUGAUGGAGGGGGAUAACUACUGGAAACGGUAGCUAAUACCGCAUAACGUCGCAAGACCAAAGAGGGGGACCUUCGGGCCUCUUGCCAUCAGAUGUGCCCAGAUGGGAUUAGCUAGUAGGUGGGGUAACGGCUCACCUAGGCGACGAUCCCUAGCUGGUCUGAGAGGAUGACCAGCCACACAGGAACUGAGACACGGUCCAGACUCCUACGGGAGGCAGCAGUGGGGAAUAUUGCACAAUGGGCGCAAGCCUGAUGCAGCCAUGCCGCGUGUAUGAAGAAGGCCUUCGGGUUGUAAAGUACUUUCAGCGGGGAGGAAGGUGUUGAGGUUAAUAAUCUCAGCAAUUGACGUUACCCGCAGAAGAAGCACCGGCUAACUCCGUGCCAGCCGCCGCCGUAA